GUCCAGGGUCACCCUCCCCUUGUUUGCCUCUUGGUCGAAACUCUUCUCUCCUGGAGAGUGACCUGCCCAAAGACACCAGGCCCAGGCCCAGAGGAGAGAGCCUGUGGGCGAGCCGGCUCCCACGACUCCCAUCGCACUCGGUCUACUUCCUCGGAAACCUUUUUUGACACAAAAAUAUUUUAAAAUUUUUGUACAAAAGUAUGAAAAUGAAAAAUGCGUAACUGUCAGCUCAUCUUUGUUAAAAGAUUUCGACUUUUCUGAACAUCUUGUAUUUGUAUAAAUCCAGACUUUGCCGUGAUCUUCUAGAAUACAAACAUCUGAAGUUGCUUUUUUCCUUCAAGAAGACUUUCUCUGUUUUCUUCUUUAGAACCUUUUAGAAAUCGGUACUCUGUUAACAUCUUCAUAAUGUCCUUCUCCUGUGAAGGCCUGAAAUGCCACCCUCCAGUGUCACAGUAUCUAGUCAGGUUAUUCUCAGCGUAGGAGAACCCCUGUCUGUGGCUGAGUCCCUUUCUAUGGUGCUGGCAGAGGCAGCUAGUGCCCAGGUGGUUACUGAAAGUAGAUGUGGCUCAGAUCUGACAUUGCUGUGGCUGUGGUGUAGGCUGGCAGCUACAACUCCAAUUCAACCUCUAGCCUGGAAACUUUCAUAUGCCGUGCAUAUGGCCCUAAAAAGAUGAACAAAACAAAACAAAACAAUUCAGUUUUAUUGAAUUGCUUCUGCAAAUGAUAGUGGGGGAAGGGGAGAGAUUGCUAAUGAAUACUUUUCCUUUGUUUUUUUUAAGACUUUUUGGGGUAAUGACCAACUGUAUUUUCAGCUAGUCAGCCUGUCAUGUGGGUGUGGAAUGCACCUGCAGGUGUGAGGAGAAUUAGGGGGGUGAGUCCAUUGGAACAGUCCCCAGCGAGAUGCCCUACACCAGGUUUUCUGUGGGCACCUGUAGGAAUGGGCAGCUCUCUCUCCCUGAGGCCACUGGGCACUGCCAGUAAGUGCCACCAGCCACUUAGGAAGAAAUCAUGUGUGAUAUUUAUGAUGGACGUAUGAGCGCUAGGUAUAACUCCUGGUUUGCCUUUCACAGGUCGGGUGACCGUCUGCAGAUCCUAGCCAUUGGAAAGGUGAGCGUUAUAACUCACAGGGUCAUUCUGGCCAGCCCACGGUGCCUGGUUGGCAUGUAGAGAGUGUAUUAUUUCUGUUCUCUUCUGGGGGCCUCUGGAAAGCAGACCGAGGUUUAAAAAGAUGUUGUCAAAAUUCUUUCCUUUGAAAUCAAUCUGUGUUGACUCAUAAUUUGAGUACUCCUUUAGUACAGUUAUUAAAUAUAGUUACAUAAUUAGCUCACACACAUGCCUAUUUAACCUGUGAGGGCAGAAUUUUGAUUAUGUAGGUCCCAUGGCUUAAGAAAAUGGGGUUUUCUCUUCAACUUGUCUUUAAACUAGAUCUCAAAUUAGCGGACAUUGAUUUCAGAAUUCAGCCUUUAGGAUUCCUCAGAAGUUUUUCUUGCCUUUCAUUUGUCGCUCCCUUAACAUCUCCCCUGCUUUUUUUCAUUUGCUCUUUUCAUGUUGUCAGGGUUUUUUGUUUGUUUUUACGUUUUCUCUCCUGAAACUUUGCACUCAGAGAUAGGAGUAAAGGCCUAUUUUGAGGCAGUAGGAUGGACAGUGUGCUUUCUUUCAUCUCAGUGUAUUAUUGUUUUGCUAACAUGCCUUUUUGCUCUGAAGAUAUAAAUUCACAACUGGAGAAAGAAUCCCAAACUUCAUAAUAACUCUGUAGUUUCCUGAGUGCUUAUUGUGUGCCAAGUACAGGGCAUUUUAGUACAUUAGCUGAUGUCUUCUCAUCCAUAGUGAAGAGACGAAGGCGCCUGGGAGAGUCAGGCCUGGCUGCUUGCUGUGACCGUGCUCCUGACCUGUUCUCUUGUUCCCCCUUGUUCAGUCCCAGGGACAGGGUGGUUUUUAUUAUCUUUAAAGACCUAAGAGAUCUUGGGGCCCUGACUUUGAUGGAUGGCAUUUGGCCUAUUUUAAUUACAAAAACUUAUCAAAUGUUAACAUAAAUUACCUGUGUCUAGUGGGUUCAUAGCCCCAAAUAGUGUCGUUUGGGGUCUUAAAGUGUGUUGAACUGAUUUUGAUGUGUUUAUAAGAGACAUUAUCACUGUUUGAAAAACCCGAUAGUGCUCUUUCCUCCCUGAUUUCUAAUUCUGGCAUCUAGAAUGCAGCUGAGACAAGAGCACGUCUGUGAGACAAACAGAGAUCUCAUGAGAGCUCAUGGAUUAACUUUUUUCCACCACAGCAGCAGGUUUUUCUUAAAGCGUUGUUUGAAAAUUAACAUUACUGAAAAUUUAAGCUUACCUAAAGGGAUUCUAGUUUUGAUCUCAAUUAUAAAAAGUAGGAAGACAUUUCAUAAAAAUCUGUGUCCCCUUAGCACUAGAAUGCUUUGGCUGUGAGUGGGAUAAGCUAGAAGUAAGCUGCCUUUGAUAGACGUGAGCAGUGUGUGAUAACUGUCUCUAUCUAUUCAACUACUUCCUGUUCAAUCUCACAUCGCAGCUGGAAAGCAAUUUCCUCACUUGACCCAUUUUUCUUCUGUAUUGUGUCUUUCUUCUGGUUCUUUAACAAAUAGUUUGAAGGAAUGGAGUGUCGUAAAGCCUUACACACUUGUAAGGUGAGGCAAUUCAGGCACCUGCUUUGGAAUAAGCAUACUCUCUUGUGUUUCAUUAUUUGGCUCCCUGGUUGGGCGGAUAACAGUUUUGCUCCUUUACUUUCAUGUCACUGUUUUCAGAAGAGAGAGAUUUUAAAGCUUGAAAAUGGUAGGCAUUUGAGUAAAGACAAAAACAGGUGUAUGGGGGUAAGGAUCUUGUUUUAGUAACAUGGACAAUUUAUGAAUGUUAUAAUUUUAGUAAGCAUAUAUGCAGUAAGUCUAGCAUUAAUAGAUCCACAUUGUAAAAUGCCUGUUUAUCCAAAGACGGAGGUCUCUUGGUAUCAUUGGCUUGUUACUGUUAAUGCCACCCUUAGUCACAGGUAUGACGUUAUCAUGUGAUAACUUUUGUCCCACACCCAUGGCUUAUAGAGUGCUUGGGUUGCCUUCUCUUUUUGCCAGAUCAAAUUCUAAAUGUCCUAACACACCGAACAUAACGCCAGUCUCCUUCUUGAAACCAUCUCUGACUUUACGUGUAUAAGCUCUCUCUUUUCUGUUUCUGCUCACACCUUUGGUGACCUCACUUAGCCCUGUGACUUUAAAUUUACCACACAUACCCUGAAGACUCCUAGGUUUUUGCUUGUUUUGUGAGGGGGUUUUUUGGCCAGCCUGGACUGCAUAGAUAUUUGCAUAUCUAGUUGCCUUCUCACCACCUGCACAGGACUGUUUAGUGAGCAUUUCCAGCCCACAGGGCCAGACCUGGCCCUGCUCUUGCCCCAGGACCACUCUGCCUGCACUCCUCUCUGUCUUCCUCGAGAGCGCUUACCCCCUUCUGGUCGCUCCAGUCUAAACCCUAGAGUCUUCCUUGGCUCCCUCUUUCUUUCCAUGUACAGUACAUAAGAAACUAAGAGAUUUCUAAGUGAUCCAUGGGUCAAAGAAGAGAAAUACUUGGAACUAAAUUUAAAAAACCAAAUACAACAUAUCAGAAAUCAUAUGAUGCUGCUAAGCUGUGCUAAGAGGGAAAUUUAUGGCAUUAAAUGUCUCUAUUGGAAAAGGAGAACAAUCUCAGAUCAGUAAUUUAAGCGUUUAUCUUAUUCCAAAAAGUGAAGAACAAACUAAACCCAAUAGCAAGUAAAAAGAAGGAGAUAAAGGUUAGAGUGGAAGUCGGUGACGUAGAAACAGAAAGCAGUAGAAAGGAUCAAUAGAACCAAAAUUAAUUGGUUAAUUGAAAAUUAAUUUCAGCCGGUUAAUUGAAGAUAUCAGCAAAAUUGACAAACCUGUAGCUAGAUUGACCAAGAAAAAGAGAGAAGAUACAAGGUACCAAAAUCAAGAAUGAAGAGGGGCGUUGAGUAUUGAUCUUACAGAAAUUAAGUUGAUAGUCUGAAUAACUUUGUACCAACAAGUUAGAUAGCUUAUAUGAAAUGGACAAAAUUCUAGAAAUAGGCAAAUUGCCAAAACUGACUCAAGAAAAAUGAAAAGUCUGAAUAGACAUAUAAUGAGUAAAGAAAUUGAAUUGAUAAUUAACAAUUUUGCCACAAAGAAAAGCCCAAGUUAUUUUGGCUUCAGUGGUAAAUUCUGUCAGACAUAUAAAGAACUAAUACC
rnacentral:lncRNA from 1 species